rnacentral:lncRNA from 1 species
UGGUGGUGGUAGUAGUAAUGAUGAUGCUUGUGAAAGCAGUUUAGUGAUGGUGGUGGUGGUAGUAGUAGUAAUGGUGGUAGUGAUAGCAGUUUAGUGAUGGUGGUGGUGGUAGUAGUAGUAAUGAUGAUGGUAGUGAUAGCAGUUUAGGUAUGGGGGUGGUAGUAGAACUAAUGAUGAUGGCAGUGGUAGCAGUUUAGUGAUGGUGAUGGUGGUAGAAGUAGUAAUGAUGAUGGUAGUGAUACCAGUUUAGUGGUGGUGGUAGUAGUUGUAAUGAUGAUGGUAGUGAUACCAGUUCAGUGAUGUGGUGGUGGUAGUAGUAGUAAUAAUGAUGAUGGAAGUGAUAGCAGUUUAGUGAUGGUGCUGUUGGUAGUAGUAGUGAUGAUGAUGGUAGUGAUAGCAGUUUAGUGAUGGUGAUGGUAGUAGUAGUAAUGAUGAUGGUAGUGACAGCAGUUUAGUGAUGGCUGUAAUAGUAAUAAUGAUGAUGGUAGUGAUAGCAAUUUAGUUAUGGUGGUGGUAGAAGUAGUAAUGAUGAUAGUAGUGAUAGCAGUUUAGUGAUGGUGGUGGUGGUAGUAGUAGUAAUGAUGUUGGUAGUGAUAGCAGUUUAGUGAUGUGGUGGUGGUAGCAGUAAUGAUGAUGGUAGUGAUAGCAGUUUAGUGAUGUGGUGGUGGUAGUAGUAUAAUGAUGAUAGUAGUGAUAGCAGUUUAGUGAUGGUGGUGGUGGUAGUAGUAGUAAUGAUGUUGGUAGUGAUAGCAGUUUAGUGAUGUGGUGGUGGUAGCAGUAAUGAUGAUGGUAGUGAUAGCAGUUUAGUGAUGUGGUGGUGGUAGUAGUAGUAGAAUUGAUGAAGGUAGUGAUAGCAGUUUAGUGAUGGUGAUGGUGGAAGAAGGAGUAAUGAUGAUGGUAGUGAUAGCAGUUUAGUGAUGGUGGUGGUAGUAGUAGUAAUGAUGUUGGUUUUCACAGCAGUUUAGUGAUGGUGGUAGUAGUAGUAAUGAUGAUGGUAGUGAUAGCAGUUUAGUGAGGGUGGUGGUGGUAGUAGUAAUGAUGAUGCUUGUGAAAGCAGUUUAGUGAUGGUGGUGGUGGUAGUAGUAGUAAUGGUGGUAGUGAUAGCAGUUUAGUGAUGGUGGUGGUGGUAGUAGUAGUAAUGAUGAUGGUAUUGAUAGCAGUUCAUUGAUGGUGGUGGUAGUAGUAGGAAUGAUGAUGGUAGUGAUAGCAGUUUAGUGUUGGUGGAUGUGGAAGUAGUAGUAAUGGCAAUGGUAGUGAUAGCAGUUUAGUGACGGUGGUGGUGGUAGUAGUAGUAAUGAUGAUGGUAGUGAUAGCAGUUUAGUGAUGGUGGGGGAAGUAGUAGUAGUAAUGAUGAUGGUAGUGACAGCAGUUUAGUGAUGGUGGUGGUAGAAGUAAUAAUGAUGAUG